UGGGGAAUAUUGCACAAUGGGGGAAACCCUGAUGCAGCGACACCGCGUGAACGAAGAAGGUAUUCGUAUCGUAAAGUUCUGUCCUAUGGGAAGAUAAUGACAGUACCAUAGAAGAAAGCUCCGGCUAAAUACGUGCCAGCAGCCGCGGUAAUACGUAUGGAGCGAGCGUUGUCCGGAAUUAUUGGGCGUAAAGGGUACGCAGGCGGUUUAAUAAGUCGAAUGUUAAAGAUCGGGGCUCAACCCCGUAAAGCAUUGGAAACUGAUAAACUUGAGUAGUGGAGAGGAAAGUGGAAUUCCUAGUGUAGUGGUGAAAUACGUAGAUAUUAGGAGGAAUACCAGUAGCGAAGGCGACUUUCUGGACACAAACUGACGCUGAGGUACGAAAGCGUGGGGAGCAAACAGG
rnacentral:rRNA from 1 species